GGGUGCAAGCGUUAAUCGGAAUUACUGGGCGUAAAGCGCACGCAGGCGGUUUGUUAAGUCAGAUGUGAAAUCCCCGGGCUCAACCUGGGAACUGCAUCUGAUACUGGCAAGCUUGAGUCUCGUAGAGGGGGGUAGAAUUCCAGGUGUAGCGGUGAAAUGCGUAGAGAUCUGGAGGAAUACCGGUGGCGAAGGCGGCCCCCUAGACGAAGACUGACGCUCAGGUGCGAAAGCGUGGGGAGCAAACAGGAUUAGAUACCCUGGUAGUCCACGCCGUAAACGAUGUCGACUUGGAGGUUGUGCCCUUGAGGCGUGGCUUCCGGAGCUA
rnacentral:rRNA from 1 species